CAAACUUCAGAAGCCUUUUUUAAACCUUUUAAUAGACUACACGUUUGCAUUUCCUGCUUUGCAGUUUUUUGACCUGCAACAACCGGGUGAUCAAAUGGCAAGCGACGGGUCCUUAGGAUGAAGAUGCAGUUGAACCAACUGACAGUAAGCACUUGGAGCCCCUGGAUGAUAUAUCUACCCUGAGGAAGACAAGGGAUGUAUGUGCCUUCCCCCACACUUUAACCCUUCCACACACAUUGGCCCCUAACCCUUGAUUUUUAUCUGUAGUAUAAAACUUGUCUCCCCGUCUUGCAUCAGGGAAUUGUCUGUGUAUAUGUUCUGAUAAUGCCUGCUUUAUGGAAACAAACAUCUGAUAUAUUAUUCUAAUGUACUCCACCUGUUCCAAGAAGAGGUACAUCUUCCGAUUGUAUCACAUCGGAGCCGUUUAGAAAUGGUCCAUCUAUAUAGGCUUUACAACCGAACAUGUGACACUGCAGAUAGUCAGUCAUAUAGUACAAUACAUUACUCUUCUCAACUUUUUAGAUGCGCACAGUCACAAAACACCUGGGAGUUUACUACUGGUUCAUCUGCACAACCUUUAAAAGGAUUUCUCUCAAUGGGAGUUCUAUUUUCUUAGUUUUCAAUAUGGUUACAGCUGUGAAGGCUAAGGAUACUCUCACAGCAUCGUAUGUCAUAGAUUACUUCACCCAAGAAACCUCACACUAGACUCACUCCAAUGGUGUUUUAUGAUUUUCACCAUCCAAGGCAGUACUACACAUCUGAUGCUCAGCCAGCAAUUGCCUCAUGUCCGGGUAGGAAUGCGACCAGCAUUCUUUAACUAUCCUCAUGUUUUAACUCUUUGGGCUGAUUCCAAUGUGAACAUCACAAGUAUUUAACUCUCAAAGGGAAUUUGAUCAGACUGCUUUUGGAAAUCACUCUAUUUCUGAGUCACUGACUUGUUUUUGGGAGACCAGUAUUAAUUAGGUUAUCUUACCACCUCAGUAUUCCUCCAGCUUGUGAUCCACAGACCUUUUAUUAAUGCAGUGUUACAGUUGAACAAACCUUCUCAGUUGCAUGCCAGACAUGUGAUUCAUAUUGGGAAAUGAGCAUGAUAACGAAUGAGUCAGGUUUUUACAGUCGGUGAUGUCUCUUCAAGCUAGACUCCAUUGCGUAGUCCAUGAUGUCGCUCUUCAAGAUUUCAUAAGGCAGACAUUUUCAUCUCUCUUUUUACUUUCUCCCUCCCCCUCUGUUGUAGAGCCUUUCUCUGCUCAGCACCAUGGCUAUAGAGUACACAGCUGUUAGAUAGUCCAUUUAUUUAAGUGACCCUCUAUAGCUUAUUGUGGUGAAAAGCUGUAUCUGAAAUAGGAAUGCCAUGAUUUGAGUGUAUAGCAUGUUUUCUUAGGCUGGUAUAAACAGUUGAGUGUUGUGCUUGUUAUCAUAUGAAAGUAGAAGUUUUUUUACUCUGCAGUCAGGCUUGUGUGGUGGCAUACGUUAAUUCAGCGCUUGAUAUGGCUCACUAAGUGUUUGUAAAGUUUUUUUCUGCUUUUCAAAUUAGAUGACUUACUAGUUAGUUUAGAUUCAUAAAUACAUGUUCAUAACUUUGUCAGAACCAGUUAAAAUAAUCUGCAGGCCAUACAAGGCUUUCACUGUAGACAUACUCUACAUAUUUGUUGUAGGACUAGUUUCCUCACAUAUAUUUUAUUUUUGCUGUGUUAGGCAUAUUUGAAACGGUACCGAGACCGUUGAUAAGAAGUGAAUGUAGGAUAAUUCCUAAUUAAAGAGUGGGAUAAUUCAGUGUGUCUGUCCUAAUGUUUGCAGGCAGGUUUGAAUGGGCUAUAUAGUGGCUUGUCAUGUGAGUGGAUGGCUUCACGCUGUGCAUCUGGCCUAGCAUGGGCUACAAACUGUGACUAUUUGAAACAUUGC
rnacentral:lncRNA from 1 species